rnacentral:rRNA from 1 species
UAACGCGUGAGGAACCUGCCUCAAAGAGGGGGACAACAGUUGGAAACGACUGCUAAUACCGCAUAAGCCCACGGGUCGGCAUCGACCAGAGGGAAAAGGAGUAAUCCGCUUUGAGAUGGCCUCGCGUCCGAUUAGCUAGUUGGUGAGGUAAUGGCCCACCAAGGCAACGAUCGGUAGCCGGACUGAGAGGUUGAACGGCCACAUUGGGACUGAGACACGGCCCAGACUCCUACGGGAGGCAGCAGUGGGGAAUAUUGCACAAUGGGGGAAACCCUGAUGCAGCGACGCCGCGUGGAGGAAGAAGGUCUUCGGAUUGUAAACUCCUGUUGUUGAGGAAGAUAAUGACGGUACUCAACAAGGAAGUGACGGCUAACUACGUGCCAGCAGCCGCGGUAAAACGUAGGUCACAAGCGUUGUCCGGAAUUACUGGGUGUAAAGGGAGCGCAGGCGGGAAGACAAGUUGGAAGUGAAAUCUAUGGGCUCAACCCAUAAACUGCUUUCAAAACUGUUUUUCUUGAGUAGUGCAGAGGUAGGCGGAAUUCCCGGUGUAGCGGUGGAAUGCGUAGAUAUCGGGAGGAACACCAGUGGCGAAGGCGGCCUACUGGGCACCAACUGACGCUGAGGCUCGAAAGUGUGGGUAGCAAACAGGAUUAGAUACCCUGGUAGUCCACACCGUAAACGAUGAUUACUAGGUGU